rnacentral:tRNA from 1 species
GCGGGUGUGGCUGAGCGGAUAGGCAGCGGCCUGCAAAGCCGUGCACACGGGUUCGAAUCCCGUCACUCGCUCAA